GACGAACGCUGGCGGCGUGCUUAACACAUGCAAGUCGAGCGGAGCGGCGAACGGGUGAGUAACGCGUGAGUAACUGCCCCCCUCUCUGGGAUAACAGUUGGAAACGGCUGCUAAUACCGGAUAGUGGGGGAUGACUCGCGUCCUAUCAGCUUGUUGGUGGGGUAGUGGCCUACCAAGGCGACGACGGGUAGCCGGCUUGAGAGGGCGACCGGCCACAUUGGGCUGAGAGACAGCCCUAACGCCAUCGGGAGGCAGCAGGGGGGAAUAUUGCACAAUGGUGGAAAUCCUGAUGCAGCAACGCGCGUGCGGGAUGACGGCCUUCGCGUUGUAAACCGCUUUCAGCCAUGACCCGUUAGUGGCAGAAGAAGCACCGGCUAACUACGUGCCAGCAGCCGCGGUAAUUC
rnacentral:rRNA from 1 species